rnacentral:tRNA from 5 species
GCGCCCGUAGCUCAGGGGAUAGAGCACCGGUCUCCGGAACCGGGAGCGCAGGUUCGAUUCCUGCCGGGCGCACCA